GUUAUUUCUUCCUCUCACCCUCUCACUCUCCCUCUCUUACCCUCUUAUUUUUCAAGCUUGAUUGUGAAGAAUUUGGUGUGGUUGGAAGCUUAAUUUUUGGGAGAAAAUCUUUGUUCUUGCUUGUUGUGAUCUUGAGGAUUACCGGCACCUGAUCAGGAGCACCCAGGGGUUUGGAAUCUCCUUUAUUGCGGGACAACAGGAAAGGGUAAGUCAGUGGCUGAUCAACCAUGAGCUUGAGGAGCAAAACGAAGAAUGUACAUGUUCAAGCCAUAUCAGACCAAGCGGGUUAAGGGUCUAUCAGUGUUGAACUUUUGAAUUCUGUUUUGCCGCUUAGGUCGGCUAGAAAUAAAAGACUUGUAAUAAGUUUGUAAUUAUUUUUGGGAUCCCAACUAUUUUGAAAGUUUAAAUAUAUUACAAGUUUAUUUUCAUUCUGUUUAAUAUAAAAGUUUAAAUUCUGCGCUAUUUUGAUUAGUAAUCCCGAUUAGGGGAUUAGAGUUUCAUAAGUAUUUUGGGUAG